rnacentral:rRNA from 1 species
UACGGGGGGGGUAAGCGUUGUUCGGAAUUACUGGGCGUAAAGGGCUCGUAGGCGGCCAACUAAGUCAUACGUGAAAUCCCUCAGCUUAACUGGGGAACUGCGUGUGAUACUGGAUGGCUUGGAUUUGGGAGAGGGAUGCGGAAUUCCAGGUGUAGCGGUGAAAUGCGUAGAUAUCUGGAGGAACACCGGUGGCGAAGGCGGCAUUCUGGACCGACAUUGACGCUGAGGAGCGAAAGCCAGGGGAGCAAACGGG